rnacentral:lncRNA from 1 species
AAAACUUGGGGCCGUAGAUGCCAAAAUAAUUGGAUUUGAGCAAAAUCAACACAGGGAAAAUGGAAAAGUAUUGCCCAACAAUUUUAUGGCCAUAAGCUAGAGACUAAUCAUGAGUUAAUUUUAAAUCAGUUAACUCAUAGUAAAAUUGAGUUAAUUUAUUUUGAUUUUAUCCGAUUUUGCUGAAAUUAACUAACUUUAGAAACUCAUUAAACUCCCG